CUAGAGGGCGCGAGAGAGAGGCUGUACAGUUACCAUAGCUACCGAAAUUGAAUGAUUAGAAGGCUCAUAAACUUAAGCGCUGCAGUGUGAAAGAAAAAUUCUGGAGUAAACAUGUUAAGAAAAUGUAUUGAAGUAUUAUUUUUUUCUUUUUUAAUGUUUUCUUUAUGUAAAUAAAAUUGUGAUGUCAAGAAAUAGAAUGGUGGUUUUUUUUCUGUAAAAAAGAUUGCCAGCUGAAACAUCACGUUAGAUUCAACUAUGCAUCAGAAAAGGUUCAAAUGUUGUAGAUGCAAUUCCGGCAUGGAAACUUCAUCUUCUUCUACCGGGUCCAUGUGCACCUGAAACGUAGAAUUCUGAAAAUUAAGAUUUGCGCCGGAUGCGAGUAAAAAAUCGACCCCCAAUAUCAAUGACGCCUUUUAGCCGUCAACUCAACAGGAAUUGAUUAAAGUCCAAUGUCUGUGAUCCAGUAAAAUAAUUUGAAAGUUUACUAUUCAAUUUAAUAACAGUUUUUAUUUACUUGACAUAUAAAAAACUGAGUAGUGUUUGCAAUGUACAUCGCAUUGCAAAUUAUUUUAACGUCCCAAGGAAGUUUGAAACAGUAUGCCUUAUGAUAAAAAAAGAAAACAAGGAACCUUAGAAACAAUAGUUGUCGUCUCUCAGGAGCAUUGCGUGCCUUCGUGGUGUAGUGCUCUGCAUGCCGGGAGCGUAUUCCAGAGGUCCGUGGUUCGACUCCUGGCGAAGGCGUUGCUCAUCUUUCCCGCUUGCAAAAAUACCUAAUGACUCUACAGCUUUAAAUGUUUAUUGUUAACUGUUGUAAUAUCUAUUCUUCGUUACAAUAUGAAGAAGACAGGUUGGUGCGAUUCUGUUGGAUUCAAGGUUUGAACGUUUCGUUAAACGUUUAGAUUUGACUUGAUGGUAUAUGGUUCCUUCGAGUGCUCUUGAAUUCGCUGGUAAAUUUAAGAAAUGUUUUUAUCAAGUUAAAUAAUAACUACAUAGUUGAAUUAAAUAAGUAAACUUUUGUUGGUAGCUUUUGAUUUCUGUAAUUCAUUUAAAUAAAAGAGUUUUGU